GCCCCCCCAGGAUUCCACCUGAAGAGUUUCCAGUACUCUACCAGUCACAACUACAGGAGAGAAAGUCAAGCAGAGGCCUACCCAUUCCAUUCCUAGCUUGGGCAGUAGCUAGCGAGUGGAAGGCAAUCUGCUACAAGC
rfam:Ornithorhynchus anatinus chromosome 1, whole genome shotgun sequence.